UUUAGAUAUCUGAGUUGAACUCUGCAAGACAACAGAAGAAACUGAACCAAGCUCUGCAGACAUUGUUGCAGCACAGCUGGCUUCAUUGAAUGUGCACUGUCGUAGCUGAGAGCUCAGCUUGGACUGGCACCAACUUUGAAUUCUUUAUGGACGGAAGAUACUUCUGAUUAAAAGAUACAUCUUGAUUUAAAGAACAGCUAGUAUGUAGUAGACAUAAUACAUGGCUACCAGGAG
rnacentral:lncRNA from 1 species